rnacentral:rRNA from 1 species
AGAGUUUGAUCCUGGCUCAGGAUGAACGCUAGCGGCAGGCUUAAUACAUGCAAGUCGAGGGGCAUCAAGGUACACGAAAGUGUAUUGUUGGCGACCGGCGGACGGGUGAGUAAUAGGUAGGUAACCUACCUCAUACUGAGGCAUAGCUGGGAGAAAUUCCAGGUAAUUCCUCAUGAGGUUAUAUGACACAUGUGAUAUAAUCAAAGGUAUCGCAAGGUACUGGUAUGAGAUGGGCUUACUGACCAUUAGCUAGUUGGUGAGAUAAGAGCUCACCAAGGCGAAGAUGGUUAGGGGUUUUGAGAGAGAGAUCCCCCACAUUGGAACUGAGAUACGGUCCAGACUCCUACGGGAGGCAGCAGUAGGGAAUAUUGGGCAAUGGGCGGAAGCCUGACCCAGCCAUGCCGCGUGAAGGAAGACGGCCUUAUGGGUUGUAAACUUCUUUACUAUGCGACUAACUAGAUUUACGAGAUAAUUCUAUAGAAUGUAGCAUAGCAAAAAGCACCGGCUAACUCCGUGCCAGCAGCCGCGGUAAUACGGAGGGUGCGAGCGUUAUUCGGAAUUACUGGGUUUAAAGGGUGCGUAGGCGGCUAAGUAAGUUGUCAUUGAAAGGCUACAGCUCAACUGUAGUAGUGGUGGCGAUACUGCUUAGCUAAGAACAUGGGAGGGGUACUUGGAAUGUGUGGUGUAGCGGUGAAAUGCGUAGAUAUCACACAGAACACCAGAGGCGAAGGCGGAGUACUAGACCAUAGUUGACGCUGAGGCACGAAAGCGUGGGGAUCAAACAGGAUUAGAUACCCUGGUAGUCCACGCCCUAAACGAUGAUCACUAGAUAUUGGCGACAAACAGUCAGUGUCCAAGCGAAAGUGAUAAGUGAUCCACCUGGGGACUACGGCCGCAAGGUUAGAACUCAAAUGAAUUGACGG